CCUGGUUGAUCCUGCCAGUUCAUAUGCUUGUCUCAAAGAUUAAGCCAUGCAUGUCUAAGUACACACUUUGGUAAAGUGAAACCGCGAAUGGCUCAUUAAAUCAGCUACAAUUUAUUAGAUCGUACACUGUUACUUGGAUAACUGUGGGAAUUCUAGAGCUAAUACAUGCCGAGAGUCUCUGCUCUUCGGGGCAGAACGCAGUUAUUAGACCAAAACCAGCCGUAUUCUUCGGGGUACGCUCUUUUGGUGACUCUGGAUAACCUUCAGCCGAUCGCAUGGCCUCGUGCCGGCGACGUAUCUUUCAAGUGUCUGCCCUAUCAACUUUCGAUGGUACGUGAUAUGCCUACCAUGGUGAUAACGGGUAACGGGGAAUCAGGGUUCGAUUCCGGAGAGGGAGCCUGAGAAAUGGCUACCACAUCCAAGGAUGGCAGCAGGCGCGCAAAUUACCCACUCCCAGCUUGGGGAGGUAGUGACGAAAAAUAACAAUGCGGGACUCUAAGAGGCCCCGUAAUUGGAAUGAGUACACCUUAAAUCGUUUAACGAGUAUCAAUUGGAGGGCAAGUCUGGUGCAGCAGCCGCGGUAAUUCCAGCUCCAAUAGCGUAUAUUAAAGUUGCUGCAGUUAAAAAGCUCGUAGUUGGAUCUGGGGCUUAGGUCGCUGUCUAUCGUUUCGGCGAUGACGGUGAUGCUCAGCUCUGCUUGCCGGUGACUGUUGCGGUGUUCUUCACUGAGCGCUGUAGCAGCACGGCACGUUUACUUUGAAAAAAUUAGAGUGCUCAAAGCGUGCUUGUCGCUUGAAUAAUGUUGCAUGGAAUAAUGGAAUAGGACCUCGGUUCUAUUUUGUUGGUUUUCGGAGCUUGAGGUAAUGAUUAAGAGGGACGAACGGGGGCAUUCGUAUUGCGGUGUUAGAGGUGAAAUUCUUGGAUCGCCGCAAGACGGACUACUGCGAAAGCAUUUGCCAAGAACGCUUUCAUUAAUUAAGAACGAAAGUCAGAGGUUCGAAGACGAUCAGACACCGUCCUAGUUCUGACCAUAAACGAUGCCGACCAGCGAUCCGUAGUGGUUGCUUUAUGGACCCUACGGGCAGCCUCCGGGAAACCAAAGUAUUUGGGUUCCGGGGGAAGUAUGGUUGCAAAGCUGAAACUUAAAGGAAUUGACGGAAGGGCACACCAGGAGUGGAGCCUGCGGCUUAAUUUGACCCAACACGGGAAAACUCACCCGGUCCGGACACCGUAAGGAUUGACAGACUGAUAGCUCUUUCUUGAUUCGGUGGAUGGUGGUGCAUGGCCGUUCUUAGUUGGUGGAGUGAUUUGUCUGGUUAAUUCCGAUAACGAACGAGACUCUAGCCUGCUAAGUAGUGUUGCUAUUAA
rnacentral:rRNA from 1 species